AUCCAAUCCAAAUUUAUCGAGAGAAUAUAGAGAAUGAGCAUAAAAUGGCAAACAGAUCCAGAAGAGAAGAAGCUGGACAAAGCAAAGGAAACAACAAUGAAUAGAAAAGGAAUCUUUGAAACUGAUCUACAGCUCCACUUAAGCUGGACCUCAAAUGUGUCAUGGUUAUUAUGAUACUGAUGUGCUAGAAGAAGAAGAAGAUGAAGAAG
rnacentral:misc_RNA from 1 species